CAGUCGCCGCGGUAAUACGUAGGGCGCAAGCGUUGUCCGGAAUUAUUGGGCGUAAAGAGCUCGUAGGCGGUCUGUCGCGUCUGGUGUGAAAUCCCGAGGCUCAACCUCGGGCUUGCAUCGGGUACGGGCAGACUAGAGUGCGGUAGGGGAGACUGGAAUUCCUGGUGUGGCGGUGGAAUGCGCAGAUAUCAGGAGGAACACCGAUGGCGAAGGCAGGUCUCUGGGCCGCAACUGACGCUGAGGAGCGAAAGCAUGGGGAGCGAACAGGAUUAGAUACCCCUGUAGUCCCUGUCUCUUAUAC
rnacentral:rRNA from 1 species